UACGGGGGGAGCAAGCGUUGUUCGGAUUUACUGGGCGUAAAGGGCGCGUAGGCGGUCAGCACAAGUCAGUUGUGAAAUCUCCGGGCUUAACUCGGAAAGGUCAACUGAUACUGUGCGACUAGAGUGCGGAAGGGGCAACUGGAAUUCUCGGUGUAGCGGUGAAAUGCGUAGAUAUCGAGAGGAACACCUGAGGUGAAGACGGGUUGCUGGGCCGACACUGACGCUGAGUGCGCGAAAGCCAGGGGAGCAAACGGG
rnacentral:rRNA from 1 species